CCCUAGCCAUUGCAGUGCUAACCUUUGGUUGUGUCCAGCUGAAAUGUUUCUGCCUUGUAACAGCCAGGCCAAGAAUUUGUCUGGUCUUUGUCCUGGAUUCCUGGAACAAAGCUCCUACACCCUUGGAAUUCGCUGAGUGGUGGGAGUGUCAUUAUUCAUGGGAGGCUCUGGUUCCAAGAAUUAAUGAGAAACUGAUGACUGAAGACCCCUCUCCUGCCAGGCUCCCUGCCACGGCAAAUCUACCAUGACCCAAGGGUAAGUGGUUUUGCUCCAUAGCCAUCCUCCACACCUUCUCACUUACUUCUCACUUGCUUCUGCCACUAUUCCUGGGAGAGAAAAAGAAAGGGAAAUUUUAAAUCAAUUGCAUAAAAUGCAAUCCAGCCCAGGAAAUAAAAACAUGGAAAAAGAUGGCAAAGAAUAAUUCAGUGUGCUUUUGUGGCUUCUAUGAACUGACCUCGAAGCUUUGCAAAGACUUGGCCCAUGGCUGGAAGCUCUCAGUAGUUUGUCCCAGAUGUUUGGUGCUGGGGAUGAUUAUAGCGCAGUCAUUUAUAGUCUGGACUCUGGGAUCAGACAGAUAUGAGUUCAAAUUCCAGCGUCAGCAUUUACUAACUGGCUGAUCGUGCACAGUUAUUUGCUUCCUUUACUUAACUGCUUAAUUAUGCUGAACUUUUCUUUGUAAUUGGGGAAAAUGGGAAAUAACAAUACUAUCUACUUUAUAGGGUUAUCAUGAGUUUGGAGUGAGACAAUGUACCUACAGUGUUCCGCACAGUGCCUGGAACAUGGGAAGUACUCAAUAAACUUCUAGGGAAUCUUAGAGUUCAGAGCUCAACUGAGUGUUCAGCAAAGAAUUCUUCCGUGAUAGUUAACUAAUUGUGUCAAUUUGAGCAUUAAACGUUCCAGUGAAUUGCAUUAGUUGGCUUCCAGCACAGACCCUUCAGCCUCGACCCGCUCAAGACACUACAGGGAGCUCCAGGCCUUCAAUCUUUGACUGGAUCCCUCGGAUCUCCAGCACACAGGCAGCCCUUUUGCACUCUUCCACACCUGACUCUGUGGGAGACAACUGUAGGGAUACCUUGAUGCUUGUAAAAGAAAGCGUACGGAGACCCCGAGCGAGCUGGCAGUUGGCAUUAUGACAAAGGUGGGCAGAAAGGAGAAGGCUGGCCAGGGAGAAGGUGCUGAACAGAAGAGCUGAAGACAAGCUUUGUCCACCCCUCAGGGCUUUAAUUGGUCCAUGAACCCAGUUGCUUUGGGGCCCUGUGGGGAUCAAACACAGAGGGGUGGAGUGGAAGCUGUGAGGUGCUGGUGUCAGGGGACCUGAUGUUGUCUUUCGCUGACAUUGAUGAAGUGUAUGGACUUGGUGGUCACAUCAGUUCUCCAAGCCGUAGUUGCAUGCACUGGAAUGUGGGGGAAUUAAUAACAUCUGCCUUGUAGUAGUGUA